AAUGAACGCUGGCGGCAUGCCUAACACAUGCAAGUCGAACGAACCCACCGGGACCUUUCGCGCACGGCUGCGUCACGCGUCGGAACCUGCACUCAUGUUCGGACUAACUCUCCGACGGGGGUGCUAUCACCGGAUAAUGUCUACUGACCAAAGAUUUAUCGCCUUUGGUUGUGCGCUAGUUGAAUUCGCUUGUUGGUAGGGUAAAAGCUUACGAAGGCGCGGAUUCAUAGCUGGUCUGUGAGGAUGAUUAGCCACACUGGGAGUGAGACGCGGCCCGGAAUCUUACGGAAGGCAGGAGAGGGGGAUAGUGCACAAUGGGCGGAGGCAUGAUGGUGCUAUGCCGGGUGAAUGAUGAAGUCCUUAGAGUUGUAAAGCUCUUUUAACCGUGAUGAUAAUGACAGUACCUGGAGAGUAAGCCCCGGCUAACUACGUG
rnacentral:rRNA from 1 species